rnacentral:rRNA from 1 species
AUUAGACGAAUCAUCUGGAAAGAUGAAUCAAAGAAGGUAAUAAUCCUGUAGUCGAAAAUGUUGUCUCUCUUGAGUGGAUCCUGAGUACGACGGAGCACGUGAAAUUCCGUCGGAAUCUGGGAGGACCAUCUCCUAAGGCUAAAUACUCUCUAGUGACCGAUAGUGAACCAGUACCGUGAGGGAAAGGUGAAAAGCACCCCGGAAGGGGAGUGAAAUAGAACCUGAAACCGUGUGCUUACAAGUAGUCAGAGCCCGUUAAUGGGUGAUGGCGUGCCUUUUGUAGAAUGAACCGGCGAGUUACGAUUUGAUGCAAGGUUAAGCAGUAAAUGUGGAGCCGUAGCGAAAGCGAGUCUGAAUAGGGCGUUUAGUAUUUGGUCGUAGACCCGAAACCAGGUGAUCUACCCUUGGUCAGGUUGAAGUUCAGGUAACACUGAAUGGAGGACCGAACCGACUUACGUUGAAAAGUGAGCGGAUGAACUGAGGGUAGCGGAGAAAUUCCAAUCGAACCUGGAGAUAGCUGGUUCUCUCCGAAAUAGCUUUAGGGCUAGCCUCAAGUGAUGAUUAUUGGAGGUAGAGCACUGUUUGGACGAGGGGCCCCUCUCGGGUUACCGAAUUCAGACAAACUCCGAAUGCCAAUUAAUUUAACUUGGGAGUCAGAACAUGGGUGAUAAGGUCCGUGUUCGAAAGGGAAACAGCCCAGACCACCAGCUAAGGUCCCAAAAUAUAUGUUAAGUGGAAAAGGAUGUGGCGUUGCCCAGACAACUAGGAUGUUGGCUUAGAAGCAGCCAUCAUUUAAAGAGUGCGUAAUAGCUCACUAGUCGAGUGACACUGCGCCGAAAAUGUACCGGGGCUAAACAUAUUACCGAAGCUGUGGAUUGUCCUUUGGACAAUGGUAGGAGAGCGUUCUAAGGGCGUUGAAGCAUGAUCGUAAGGACAUGUGGAGCGCUUAGAAGUGAGAAUGCCGGUGUGAGUAGCGAAAGACGGGUGAGAAUCCCGUCCACCGAUUGACUAAGGUUUCCAGAGGAAGGCUCGUCCGCUCUGGGUUAGUCGGGUCCUAAGCUGAGGCCGACAGGCGUAGGCGAUGGAUAACAGGUUGAUAUUCCUGUACCACCUAUAAUCGUUUUAAUCGAUGGGGGGACGCAGUAGGAUAGGCGAAGCGUGCGAUUGGAUUGCACGUCUAAGCAGUAAGGCUGAGUAUUAGGCAAAUCCGGUACUCGUUAAGGCUGAGCUGUGAUGGGGAGAAGACAUUGUGUCUUCGAGUCGUUGAUUUCACACUGCCGAGAAAAGCCUCUAGAUAGAAAAUAGGUGCCCGUACCGCAAACCGACACAGGUAGUCAAGAUGAGAAUUCUAAGGUGAGCGAGCGAACUCUCGUUAAGGAACUCGGCAAAAUGACCCCGUAACUUCGGGAGAAGGGGUGCUCUUUAGGGUUAACGCCCAGAAGAGCCGCAGUGAAUAGGCCCAAGCGACUGUUUAUCAAAAACACAGGUCUCUGCUAAACCGUAAGGUGAUGUAUAGGGGCUGACGCCUGCCCGGUGCUGGAAGGUUAAGAGGAGUGGUUAGCUUCUGCGAAGCUACGAAUCGAAGCCCCAGUAAACGGCGGCCGUAACUAUAACGGUCCUAAGGUAGCGAAAUUCCUUGUCGGGUAAGUUCCGACCCGCACGAAAGGCGUAACGAUUUGGGCACUGUCUCAACGAGAGACUCGGUGAAAUCAUAGUACCUGUGAAGAUGCAGGUUACCCGCGACAGGACGGAAAGACCCCGUGGAGCUUUACUGUAGCCUGAUAUUGAAAUUCGGCACAGCUUGUACAGGAUAGGUAGGAGCCUUUGAAACGUGAGCGCUAGCUUACGUGGAGGCGCUGGUGGGAUACUACCCUAGCUGUGUUGGCUUUCUAACCCGCACCACUUAUCGUGGUGGGAGACAGUGUCAGGCGGGCAGUUUGACUGGGGCGGUCGCCUCCUAAAAGGUAACGGAGGCGCUCAAAGGUUCCCUCAGAAUGGUUGGAAAUCAUUCAUAGAGUGUAAAGGCAUAAGGGAGCUUGACUGCGAGACCUACAAGUCGAGCAGGGUCGAAAGACGGACUUAGUGAUCCGGUGGUUCCGCAUGGAAGGGCCAUCGCUCAACGGAUAAAAGCUACCCCGGGGAUAACAGGCUUAUCUCCCCCAAGAGUUCACAUCGACGGGGAGGUUUGGCACCUCGAUGUCGGCUCAUCGCAUCCUGGGGCUGUAGUCGGUCCCAAGGGUUGGGCUGUUCGCCCAUUAAAGCGGUACGCGAGCUGGGUUCAGAACGUCGUGAGACAGUUCGGUCCCUAUCCGUCGUGGGCGUAGGAAAUUUGAGAGGAGCUGUCCUUAGUACGAGAGGACCGGGAUGGACAUACCUCUGGUGUACCAGUUGUCGUGCCAACGGCAUAGCUGGGUAGCUAUGUGUGGACGGGAUAAGUGCUGAAAGCAUCUAAGCAUGAAGCCCCCCUCAAGAUGAGAUUUCCCAACUUCGGUUAUAAGAUCCCUCAAAGAUGAUGAGGUUAAUAGGUUCGAGGUGGAAGCAUGGUGACAUGUGGAGCUGACGAAUACUAAUCGAUCGAAGACU